UACGUAGGGGGCUAGCGUUGUCCGGAUUUAUUGGGCGUAAAGAGCGUGUAGGCGGCCAUGUAGGUCCGGUGUGAAAACUCGAGGCUUAACCUCGAGAUGUCAUCGGAAACCAUUUGGCUAGAGUCCGGAAGAGGAGAGUGGAAUUCCUGGUGUAGCGGUGAAAUGCGUAGAUAUCAGGAGGAACACCGGUGGCGAAGGCGGUUCUCUGGGCAUGUCCUGACGCUGAGGAGCGAAAGUGUGGGGAGCGAACAGG
rnacentral:rRNA from 1 species